GACGAACGCUGGCGGCGUGCUUAACACAUGCAAGUCGAGCGGUAAGGCCCUUUCGGGGGUACACGAGCGGCGAACGGGUGAGUAACACGUGAGUAAUCAGCCCUUCACUUCGGGAUAAGCACCGGAAACGGUGUCUAAUACUGGAUAUGAGCAUCCUGCGCAUGUGGGGUGUUGGAAAGUUUUUUCGGUGGGGGAUGUGCUCGCGGCCUAUCAGCUUGUUGGUGAGGUAAUGGCUCACCAAGGCUUCGACGGGUAGCCGGCCUGAGAGGGUGACCGGUCACACUGGGACUGAGACACGGCCCAGACUCCUACGGGAGGCAGCAGUGGGGAAUAUUGGACAAUGGGCGGAAGCCUGAUCCAGCAACGCCGCGUGAGGGAUGACGGCCUCGGGUUGGUAAACCUACUUUCUAGUACUGACGAAGACGCAAGUAGACGGUAGGUACGAGAAGAAGACACGGCCAACUACGUAGCCAGCAGCGCGGUAA
rnacentral:rRNA from 1 species